rnacentral:rRNA from 1 species
CAGCCGCCACGGUAAUACAGAGGGUGCGAGCGUUAAUCGGAUUUACUGGGCGUAAAGCGUGCGUAGGCGGCUUCUUAAGUCGGAUGUGAAAUCCCUGAGCUUAACUUAGGAAUUGCAUUCGAUACUGGGAAGCUAGAGUAUGGGAGAGGAUGGUAGAAUUCCAGGUGUAGCGGUGAAAUGCGUAGAGAUCUGGAGGAAUACCGAUGGCGAAGGCAGCCAUCUGGCCUAAUACUGACGCUGAGGUACGAAAGCAUGGGGAGCAAACAGGAUUAGAUACCCGCGUAGUCCCUGUCUCUUAUAU